ACCUCAAGUCAAGUGAGAAUACCCGCUGAACUUAAGCAUAUCAAUAAGCGGAGGAAAAGAAACUAACAAGGAUUCCCUCAGUAACGGCGAGUGAACCGGGAAAAGCUCAAAUUUAAAAUCGCUUGGGUUUACCUGAGUGAGUUGUAAUUUGAAGAGAGUGUUUCGACUUUUCGGGUUUGAUCCAAAUCCUUUGGGAUGAGGUAUCAUAGAGGGUGAGAAUCCCGUUCAUGAUUAAACCGGAGUUGUCAAUUAAUUCAUUUUCUAAGAGUCGAGUUGUUUGGGAUUGCAGCUCAAAAUGGGUGGUAAAUUUCACCUAAGGCUAAAUAUCUGCAAGAGACCGAUAGCGAACAAGUACCGUGAGGGAAAGAUGAAAAGAACUUUGAAAAGAGAGUUAAAAAGUGCGUGAAUUUGUUGAAAGGGAAACGAUUGAAGUCAGUCAUGCUAGCGAGGAAUCAACUUGGUGGUGUGAGUCUCUUAUCUCCUCCGUGUGCACUUCCUCGUCUGGCAGGUUAGCAUCAAUUUUGAUUGUCAUCAAAUAAUUGGGGUAAUGUGGCUUCGCUUCGGUGGAGUGUUAUAGACCCUGGUGGAUGUGGCGAUUGGGAUUGAGGAUUGCAGCGGAUGCCUCUCGGCUAGUCAUCCGAUUCCUGGCUGUCACCUCGCUUUCGACAGCUUGCUGACGAUCGUGGGACUCGGCGGUCUAGGUGUCGGUCUGAUCUUAAAUUCGCUAAGGAUGCUGACGUAAUGGCUUUAAACGACCCGUCUUGAAACACGGACCAA
rnacentral:rRNA from 1 species